rnacentral:ncRNA from 2 species
CAACGAUAAAGGUAAACCUGUCGAAAGGCAGGGACACAAAGCCAAAGGGCCUAACCACGAAAGUGAAUGGCAGCCGAGCUACCGAA